rnacentral:misc_RNA from 1 species
AUUUUGCGUGCGCCUCAUCUUGUCUCCUCGCUGUCUUUCCUUUUCGCCCUUUCGCGACACUAUCCGUGAAGAAGAGCUGGCUGAAGCGGACGAAAAUGCUUGUGGCUGUGUCCAUGCACGCGUGCUCGGCGUGGCCGGUGAGCAUUGACUUCGUUGCCUUCCGCUUUUUCUUGGCGGGGUACUCGGUGGAGGAGGCAGUGGAGCAGCUCAUGGCGCUGCAGAGUGAAACGCCAGCGGCGUCCCCGCGGCGGCGGACGUCCUCUGCGUCGCCCUCUUCCACAGGGUCAUCGGACGGAGGCAGAGCUUCGCACGCGGGAUCGGCGUCGUCUUCUCGAUCCGCCACCCGCUCCAAGGCGCGCCGUCGCCAUCGAAGGCAACAGCGGACACCUCAGCAACGCCAGGACUCGCUGCCCGUGAUGCACAAUGCACAACAGCAAACUGAGGACAGGCGCCUAGAGGUCGAAGAUGAGAAUCCGCAGGAGAUUGCCGUGGCCACCACGGCGGCAGCUCUGCCCCGCAACACCUCAAUAAGCAGCUCCGCGAGCGGCGCACCCGUCCCAGCCACCACCGCAGCGCCAAGCACCACAACCGCGGUAGAUAACAGCAACACCAACGUAUCUGCUUCAUCAUCUACGACGGUCGCCGUGCCGGCGUCCUCCUCGGCUUUCCACGCCGCCCCGGGCGGCGCCAACACGCACCACCAUCGUCAUCGACAUCACCACCAGCGUCUGGACAAGUCGCCCGGCGGUUCCGGAUGCAAAAAGUCGUGCCACUCAGCGCCGCACUCGUCCCGGUCACGCACAGCCACGCAGUCGUCAAAGACGGCCGCGCGCACCUCGUUUGCGCUGCCGUCGACGCUGAAUAACGAGUACAGCGAUGCACUGCCGCUUUCUGCAGACCUCAGUAAUUUCAGACGUUUCAGCGAUGACGCUACCGUCGCUGACACUGCAGCAGCGGCCGCCAGUGAUACCGGCGGCGGCAGUGGAGCGCGGGCAGGCGGGGCGAGCAGCAGCCACCACCUUCACCAUGUCAAUUUCGGUGAUAUGAAGGCCUCCCCAUCCUUGCAGCAGCGCCGCGAGAAGCAUCGCAAGGACAGUGCAGAGCGGCACUGCUUCUUCUUGAGCGAGAGCUACAUCAAGUUUCAGCGGCAGCUACAGGAGUUCGAGGCGAUUGGCGGGGUCGGCGUCGUCUCCUCCUCCCUGCAGAGUCGCUACCUGUUCGAAGAGGUGACGGAGCAGUAUCAGGUGUUUCGCGAGCUGUCCCGCGAGGAGCAGCUCGGCUCCCCGUACGCGUUUCUCUCGAACUAUUAUAUCCCCAUACCUGUGACAACGCGUCUGCAGCUGCUGCAAAUGUACUACGAGACGGACGCGGGCGUCUUUCGGUGGGCCUUCGGCGACAAGCUAAGCCGUUUCGACCUGCCAGCGGCACUGAGUGCAGCGCGCGAAGAGAACGUGAGUGGAACACUGUCGGCGGGCUUUGGGAGUGUGGCGGGACUUGGCAGCGGUGGUGGUAGCAGCAGCGGCGCAGCGGACGGCGGCGUUACCGCCGCGUCCUUCUGGACCAGCCGGUGGAAAGGCUCCCCUGGUAAGCUUGCAGCGAUGGACGCGGCGACGGUGACGCGGCUGAGUGAGCAGCACGUCGACGCCCUUCGCCGCCAGUGGGAGAAUGUCAAACACGUCUGCGUCACCGUCGCAGCCCUCUAUCGCGGCAAAGGCGGCAUGUGCGUCCCGCUUGAUAUGCCGCUCCUGACGACCAUCCAGCAGUGCUUCGGGCUACGCCAUGAGCAGGCUCUCGAUUAUGCCACGGCUGCCUUCGGCUUCGAACACCGUCUCGAGACGCGCCUCUUCGAGCACUUGCACAACUUCAACGAGUACGGCGUAAUUUGCUCCAUCGUGGCGUCUUUGUGGUGCGACUGCUCCGGGUAUUUCCUAAGCGGAUCGUUCCGCGACGGGUGCCGCCGACUUGGCCGCCUGCUGGACGAGUAUCGAAUUCUGUCGGAGCUGCACUUGAUCGUGUUUGGCGAAGCAAUGCGUCCGCGGUGGCAGGUGCAGCUAGAUGAGGUGCAGCGCGUCAUCACGACAUCUUCCCAUGUCGAUAAAAACGCAAUGGCCUCAGCAACGGCGGCCGUCUCUGCCACAAGCCCAGUCACACCCAGCGUCAGCGGUGGUGGAGGGGGCAUCGCAACACCAACGACAAUGUCUGCUGGCAUGUUGCCUAGCUUUUCGAGCGGCGCCGCUGGAGUGGGCAGCAACCACUUUGGUAGCCCACUGUGCGGAAACGGACACCCGGGCGGCGCGACUGGUGGGGCCGCGGCUGACGCGGGCAACGCGAGCGCUUACACCUCACCAGUAUUCCCGACUACAGGCGGGGCGUUCAGCGCGAACAACGUGCACUCGCCGCUCAGCGGCAACGGGCAGUACAGCCGCCCUUUUUUGAUGGAGUUCCCAUCCCUGAUGAAGCACCUUUUGCGCGUCUGCGUGGCUCUCAGUAGCAACGGUGGCGUCAACGAUGGCCUCGACAUCUUUUUCACUCGCAUCUACUCUUACUUAGAGCUUCUCAGCUCACGAACUGCGCCAGCGAUCGUGUCGCGCGUGAUGAACGCCGCUGCAUCAGGCGGGUCCACCAUGACCGGCGCCGCUGCUGCUGUUGGGACCGGGGGACUUGCCAGCCCCCUAUCUGGCCAGCUUGGUGGGUCGGUGGGCGGUGGUGGCGCUGUGCCCGGCAUCGGCGCGUCCGUAGCGCCGUCUGGACGACCGCCGCUGCCGCCCUACGGUGAACGCGCACAGAGCGACGGAGAUUUGAGCCGCACCACGGCUAACAGCGGAAGUGCGAUGGCGCCAGCUGCCGCCUCGACGCCGCCGCCUCAAGGUUUAUCCUCGUCGUUAGCCCCUUUGACGCGCGGUGGCACGAACCUCGGCAGACCGCUCCGGUCAGGCCUCACUCGUGUGUCGUCUUCUGGACUUCUUCCCCGCCAAGCCCCCGGCAGAGGAGGCGGCAAUGCGGUCGCGAUGUCGCUGCUGACAGUUGCCAGCGCCACCAACCUUCGCACCGGUGUAGAAGGCAGCGGUUGCGUUGAUGAAGGCAUGUCCGCGAGCGCGCCGUUCUCCUACGCCGUAUCUACUGUGGUAAACACCUCUUUGCUUCAGCCUGCCAGCGUUCUGCUGCCCUUGACGGCGGCCAUCGCUGCCCAUAACGGCCCCGCAAGCGGAGGCGUUGCCUCGUCGCCGCUGCAGUCUGCGCUGGGAAGUCGCGGUUGCGCGUCCGGAGACGAGCCCACCGACGGGGACGCGGACGCAGAAAGCGGACACGGUGAGGCUGCGGCUCGGCCCGCGGCGGGUGGGUCUUCGCCGAAUAGCGGCGGCGCUCUUUCGUCGUUGACGGCACAGCCCCUGCCUGCGUCGACGUCGUCCUUGCCGUCGCAGGUAAGUGACAUGGUUCUGAAAGUGAUCGACAAGCGGUAUCUGCGCGAGCUUUGCAUGCUGCUCACAGCCCUUCCCUGUGCGUGGCACCAGCUGACAGUGCUGACGAGGGACGACCACAUGGCGACAGACAAGUCUGUGAGCGAUAUGAUGAUGGCUCUGAAAGCAAUCACGCAGGUGCUCAUGGCAUCGGACGACUUUCAUUAGGCGCGCUCUCCAACUCCGUUAUCAUGCGUGUGUGUGUGUGUGUCUGUGUCUGCCUGCGUGUCGAUGACGGUGCUGCUUAGAUCUCUGUCCGCCGCACGAGAGAGACGUAUUAUGGAGCUCCGAUCGCACGCACAAGAAGGCGCAAGAGAGGCACACGCAUGCGCGCACAUGCGUAGUGAGGCCCAUGCCGAAAGCCUUCUCCCCCAUCCUUCGAGACG